rnacentral:misc_RNA from 1 species
UCCGGUUUGUCACCGGCAGUCCCAUUAGAGUGCUCAACUGAAUGUAGCAACUAAUGACAAGGGUUGCGCUCGUUGCGGGACUUAACCCAACAUCUCACGACACGAGCUGACGACAGCCAUGCAGCACCUGUGUUCCCGUUCCCUUUCGGGCACAGCCCACUUUCGAGGGCCUCCAGGACAUGUCAAGGGUAGGUAAGGUUUUUCGCGUUGCAUCGAAUUAAUCCACAUCAUCCACCGCUUGUGCGGGUCCCCGUCAAUUCCUUUGAGUUUUAAUCUUGCGACCGUACUCCCCAGGCGGUCAACUUCACGCGUUAGCUGCGGUACCAAGAACUUGCGCUCCCAACACCUAGUGCCCAACGUUUACGGCGUGGACUAC